GUGUGUGUGUGUGUGUGUGCCCACAUGUUUACUGCUACAUAAUGAAAGUUGAAGAUUCAGCAGUCCAAAUGAACUUGGUGUUAUGAGUUAACAUUCCUCUGGAUGAGGUCUCCCCUCAAUUAUCUAUGUGUGUGUUCGUGUGUUUGUUUGUGUGUAUAUGUAUACGUGUGUGUUUGUUUGAGAGAGAGGAUUUAUCUUAGAUAUUGUAUACAGCUCCGGAAAAAAUUUAAAGACCAUUGAAAGUUUAUCCUUUUCAACUUUUAGGGAAAAUAAAGAAAAAGGUGCAUUGGUCUCUUAAUUUUUUCCAGAGUUGGAUGUGUGUGUUUGCGUGCAUGUGUGUGUACGGAAUUUAUUAUGCUAUUGGGGACAGAAAAGCUUUGCAAGGAUAGUAAAACAAGGAAAAAUACUUUUUGGCUUAAGGGUUCGGUUUAGGGUAAAAGUUCACAUUUUUGUUAGGAUUAGCAUUAGGGUUGUGGUUUCGGGUUAAGGUUAGGUUUUCAAGUUAUGGAAACUACCACUUUUAAUGGAAACAACUGUGUCCCCGUCAGGAUAGAACAGAUGAAAUGUUUAUGAUUGUGUGUAUAAUUAAUCAAUAAAGUGUAAAAGGGUGUGGUAUAUGGCCAAUAUACCGCAGCUAAGAGCUGUUCUUAGGCACGAUGCACCGCGGAGUGCCUAGACACAGCACUAUGUCGUGGUGUAUUGACAAUAAACCACAAACCCCCAAGAAUUGCCAUUAUGAAACAGUCAACAACACAAUGAAUACCAUAAAAAGUAAAUCAUUGUAAUUGAAAAUAAAAAGAUAUGCCUUUGUGUGUGUACAUGUGUGCGUGUGUGUGUGUGUGUGUGUGUGUGUGUGUGUGCGCGUGCAUGUUAAUUAGGGUGACAUGCUCUGUCUAGACACUGUGAUGACAGGACAUGCAGCCCCCCUGUUUAGUGGGCCCUCCCUCUGCUUCCCCCUGCCCCCUCAGCCAUGACCAAUACACUCUGCUAUCACCUGCCACACACACAAAGAUAAAUAUUUCUAUUCUCAAUUAAAAUGAUGUAUUUGAUGUACGAGUGGGUGAAAUGUGGCAUGAUCAUGUCUGAAUAAAGUUAAUAUUAAAAGCGG
ensembl:lncRNA